rnacentral:rRNA from 1 species
AUGAACGCUGGCGGCGUGCCUAAUACAUGCAAGUAGCACGCUGAAGGAGGAGCUUGCUCUUCUGGAUGAGUUGCGAACGGGUGAGUAACGCGUAGGUAACCUGCCUGGUAGCGGGGGAUAACUAUUGGAAACGAUAGCUAAUACCGCAUGACAACAGUUAUUGCAUGAUAACUGUUUAAAAGGGGCAACUGCUCCACUACCAGAUGGACCUGCGUUGUAUUAGCUAGUUGGUGAGGUAACGGCUCACCAAGGCGACGAUACAUAGCCGACCUGAGAGGGUGAUCGGCCACACUGGGACUGAGACACGGCCCAGACUCCUACGGGAGGCAGCAGUAGGGAAUCUUCGGCAAUGGACGGAAGUCUGACCGAGCAACGCCGCGUGAGUGAAGAAGGGUUUCGGAUCGUAAAGCUCUGUUGUAAGAGAAGAACGAGUGUGAGAGUGGAAAGUUCACACUGUGACGGUAUCUUACCAGAAAGGGACGGCUAACUACGUG